rnacentral:tRNA from 1 species
GGGCCUGUGGCUCAGCCAGGCAGAGCGGAGGACUCUUAAUCCUUAGGUCAUGGGUUCAAAUCCCAUCAGGCCCGCCA